GUCGAGAAUCUUUCACAAUGGGGGCAACCCUGAUGGAGCGACGACGCGUGGAGGAUAAGGUCUUCGGAUUGUAAACUCCUGUCAUGCGUGAACAAGGUUGCUUGGUUAAUACCUGGGCAAAUUGAUGGUAACGCAAGAGGAAGAGACGGCUAACUCUGUGCCAGCAGCCGCGGUAAUACAGAGGUCUCAAGCGUUGUUCGGAAUCACUGGGCGUAAAGGGUGCGUAGGUGGCGUGGUAAGUCAGAUGUGAAAGCCCGGGGCUCAACCUCGGAACUGCAUCCGAUACUGCCAUGCUAGAGUACUGGAGAGGUGACUAGAAUUCUCGGUGUAGCAGUGAAAUGCGUAGAUAUCGAGAGGAAUACCAAAGGCGUAGGCAGGUCACUGGACAGUUACUGACACUGAGUCACGAAGGCCAGGGGAGCGAACGGGAUUAGAAACCCCGGUAGUCC
rnacentral:rRNA from 1 species